rnacentral:rRNA from 1 species
UGGGGAAUAUUGCACAAUGGGCGAAAGCCUGAUGCAGCGACGCCGCGUGAGGGAUGACGGCCUUCGGGUUGUAAACCUCUUUCAGCAGGGACGAAGCGCAAGUGACGGUACCUGCAGAAGAAGCACCGGCUAACUACUUGCCAGCAGCCGCGGUAAUACGUAGGGUGCAAGCGUUGUCCGGAAUUACUGGGCGUAAAGAGUUCGUAGGCGGUUUGUCGCGUCGUUUGUGAAAACCAGCAGCUCAACUGCUGGCUUGCAGGCGAUACGGGCAGACUUGAGUACUGCAGGGGAGACUGGAAUUCCUGGUGUAGCGGUGAAAUGCGCAGAUAUCAGGAGGAACACCGGUGGCGAAGGCGGGUCUCUGGGCAGUAACUGACGCUGAGGAACGAAAGCGUGGGUAGCGAACAGG